rnacentral:sRNA from 1 species
GCCAGGUGUGGUGGUGCACACCUGUACUCCCAGUGGCUCUGGGGGCUGAGGCAGGAGGUUUGUGAGUUCAAGGGAGGCUGAGGCAGGAGGUUUGUGAGUUCAAAGUCAGCCUCUGCAAAAACUGUGAGGUGCUGAGCAACUCAGUGAGACCCUGUCUCUA